rnacentral:sRNA from 1 species
GCUGGGUGUCGUAGUGGGCACCUGUAGUCCCAACCACUCAGGAAGCUGAGGCAAGAGAAUAGCCUAAGCCCAGGAGUUGGAGGUUGCUGUGAGCUGUGUGAUGUCACAGCAGUCUACUGAGGGCGAUAAAGUGAGACUCUGUCUCUACAAAAAAAAAAAAAUCUUUUUGGAUAGAGUUGAAAUAGCCUUUUUUUUUAUAGAAACAAAGUCUCACUUUGUCACCCUUGGUAGUGCCUUGGCCUCAUAGCUCACAGCAACCUCCAGCUCUUGGGCUUAGGCAACUCUCUUGC